rnacentral:lncRNA from 1 species
AUGGCCUCAGGAGUGCAAGUAGCUGAUGAAGUAUGUCGCAUUUUUUAUGACAUGAAAGUUCGUAAAUGCUCCACACCAGAAGAAAUCAAGAAAAGAAAGAAGGCUGUCAUUUUUUGUCUCGGUGCAGACGAAAAGUGCAUCAUUGUAGAAGAAGGCAAAGAGAUCUUGGUUGGAGAUGUUGGUGUAACCAUAACUGGUCCUUUCAAGCAUUUUGUGGGAAUGCUUCCUGAAAAAGAUUGUCGCUGUGCUUUGUAUGAUGCAAGCUUUGAAACAAAAGAAUCCAGUACAGAAGAGUUGAUUUUUUUUUUGUAGGCAUGAGAACUAGCACCUCUGAAAAGUAAAAUGAUCUGUGCAACAUCCAAGGAUGCAAUGAAAAAGAAAUUUCAAGGCA